ACGACUCUCGGCAACGGAUAUCUCGGCUCGCGCAUCGAUGAAGAACGUAGCAAAAUGCGAUACUUGGUGUGAAUUGCAGAAUCCCGUGAACCAUCGAGUUUUUGAACGCAAGUUGCGCCCGAUGCCAUCUGGUUGAGGGCACGUCUGCCUGGGCGUCACG
rnacentral:rRNA from 1 species